rnacentral:rRNA from 1 species
GUACACGAGUGGCGAACGGGUGAGUAACACGUGGGUGACCUGCCCUGCACUUCGGGAUAAGCCUGGGAAACUGGGUCUAAUACCGGAUAGGACCGCACCGUGAGGGUGUGGUGGAAAGUUUUUUCGGUGUGGGAUGGGCCCGCGGCCUAUCAGCUUGUUGGUGGGGUCAAUGGCCUACCAAGGCGGCGACGGGUAGCCGGCCUGAGAGGGUGGACGGCCACAUUGGGACUGAGACACGGCCCAGACUCCUACGGGAGGCAGCAAGUGGGGAAUAUUGCACAAUGGGCGGAAGCCUGAUGCAGCGACGCCGCGUGGGGGAUGACGGCCUUCGGGUGUAACCUCCCUUUCACAUCGACGAAAGGGUUCCUGACGGUAGAUGGAGAAGAAGCACCGGCUAACUACGUGCCAGCAGCCGCGGUAAUACGUAGGGUGCGAGCGUUGUCCGGAAUUACUGGGCGUAAAGAGCUCGUAGGUGGUUUGUCGCUCGUCUGUGAAAUUCCGGGGCUUAACUCCGGGCGUGCAGGCGAUACGGGCAUAACUUGAGUACUGUAGGGGAGACUGGAAUUCCUGGUGUAGCGGUGAAAUGCGCAGAUAUCAGGAGGAACACCGGUGGCGAAGGCGGGUCUCUGGGCAGUAACUGACGCUGAGGAGCGAAAGCAUGGGGAGCGAACAGGAUUAGAUAACCUGGUAGUCCAUGCCGUAAACGGUGGGCGCUAGGUGUGGGUUUCCUUCCACGGGAUCCGUGCCGUAGCUAACG